AAAUUGAAGAGUUUGAUCAUGGCUCAGAUUGAACGCUGGCGGCAGGCCUAACACAUGCAAGUCGAGCGGUAGCACAGAGAGCUUGCUCUCGGGUGACGAGCGGCGGACGGGUGAGUAAUGUCUGGGAAACUGCCUGAUGGAGGGGGAUAACUACUGGAAACGGUAGCUAAUACCGCAUAAUGUCGCAAGACCAAAGUGGGGGACCUUCGGGCCUCAUGCCAUCAGAUGUGCCCAGAUGGGAUUAGCUAGUAGGUGGGGUAACGGCUCACCUAGGCGACGAUCCCUAGCUGGUCUGAGAGGAUGACCAG
rnacentral:rRNA from 5 species